GAAGUGCAAAAAGUGCGAGUGUGGGAGCAAUCUGGCGCGCUGACUGUACAAAAGGAGCGACGUGGCACAGACAAGACAGAGAGACUGGUUCUUCACUUAAUAGCUGCCACAGAGCCUGCUGGAGAAAGCUGGGAGCUUCAUUAAGCCUUUAAACCCUGCAGAGACGUUUUAAGUCAUCACGCCACUGGCUGCUGCAUCCUCAGACAUUCCCAGAGGCAACAAGGCAAAUAUGGAGUUCACAGCUGAGAUUUCAGAACGAUCUGCACAACUGACCAGGCAUUACAAGAGACUCCUCUGUGGGCAGUUCUGAAAGGAUCCCUCAUCGGCCUGCCAAAGAGGACAGCGGCCCUUUGAUCUAGUCGUCCUUCUAUACAUGCGUGUGCAUGAGUGUGUGUAUGAGGGGCAAAGUGUGUUUUCUCAUCUGGCCUCUGCAGAAUUGGUUCACUCGAAGCAUGCCCUGACCUCUUCCAAGUCAAACCGAUCUUUGCAUUGUUCAGACAAUCUGGCAUAAUGCACCAUGGCAACUGUUCCAUUUAACAGGCUCUUUAUAUCUUAGUACUCCAAGCCUAAUCAUGCGGAGUACCUCAUGUGUCACUCAUAUUAGCACCACAACAAAGCAUACUGCCUUUCUAUUAAACGUAUUUGUGUACCAAUAAAAUUUGCAUUACACUGUU